rnacentral:rRNA from 1 species
GAUCUGGCUCAGGACGAACGCUGGCGGCGCGCCUAACACAUGCAAGUCGAACGGAGCUUAAAGAGCUUGCUUUUUAAGCUUAGUGGCGAACGGGUGAGUAACGCGUGAGUAACCUGCCCUGGAGUGGGGGACAACAGUUGGAAACGACUGCUAAUACCGCAUAAGCCCACGGAUCCGCAUGGAUCUGCGGGAAAAGGAUUUAUUCGCUUCAGGAUGGACUCGCGUCCAAUUAGCUAGUUGGUGAGGUAACGG